GGUCGCCGCCGUUUGCGGGCCGGCCGGCAUCCGAAACCAGACCGCAAACUACGCUCGUAGAAGACCUAUCACGGGGUCGAGGGACCCGGGUUCGAUUCCCGGCAGCUCCACUA
rnacentral:tmRNA from 1 species